rnacentral:rRNA from 1 species
UUAAGCGACUAAGCGUACACGGUGGAUGCCCUGGCAGUCAGAGGCGAUGAAGGGCGUGCUAAUCUGCGAUAAGCGCCGGUAAGGUGAUAUGAACCGUUAUAACCGGCGAUACCCGAAUGGGGAAACCCAGUGUGAUUCGUCACACUAUCAUUAACUGAAUCCAUAGGUUAAUGAGGCGAACCGGGGGAACUGAAACAUCUAAGUACCCCGAGGAAAAGAAAUCAACCGAGAUUCCCCCAGUAGCGGCGAGCGAACGGGGAGGAGCCCAGAGCCUGAAUCAGCAUGUGUGUUAGUGGAAGCGUCUGGAAAGGCGCGCGAUACAGGGUGACAGCCCCGUACACAAAAGCGCAUGUGCUGUGAGCUCGAUGAGUAGGGCGGGACACGUGGUAUCCUGUCUGAAUAUGGGGGGACCAUCCUCCAAGGCUAAAUACUCCUGACUGACCGAUAGUGAACCAGUACCGUGAGGGAAAGGCGAAAAGAACCCCGGCGAGGGGAGUGAAAAAGAACCUGAAACCGUGUACGUACAAGCAGUGGGAGCCCCACCACCAAAGCAUUCUCUGGUGUUGAAGGCCCUGCAAAGCAGCAUCGCGGUGGCGGAGCGUCGUUUGCGACGCCCAACACACAAAACAAGCGGUGAGUGCUUUGGGGUGGGGUGACUGCGUACCUUUUGUAUAAUGGGUCAGCGACUUAUAUUCUGUAGCAAGGUUAACCGAAUAGGGGAGCCGGAGGGAAACCGAGUCUUAAUUGGGCGUUAAGUUGCAGGGUAUAGACCCGAAACCCGGUGAUCUAGCCAUGGGCAGGUUGAAGGUUGGGUAACACUAACUGGAGGACCGAACCGACUAAUGUUGAAAAAUUAGCGGAUGACCUGUGGCUGGGGGUGAAAGGCCAAUCAAACCGGGAGAUAGCUGGUUCUCCCCGAAAGCUAUUUAGGUAGCGCCUCGUGAACUCAUCUCCGGGGGUAGAGCACUGUUUCGGCUAGGGGGCCAUCCCGGCUUACCAACCCGAUGCAAACUGCGAAUACCGGAGAAUGUUAUCACGGGAGACACACGGCGGGUGCUAACGUCCGUCGUGAAGAGGGAAACAACCCAGACCGCCAGCUAAGGUCCCAAAGUCAUGGUUAAGUGGGAAACGAUGUGGGAAGGCCCAGACAGCCAGGAUGUUGGCUUAGAAGCAGCCAUCAUUUAAAGAAAGCGUAAUAGCUCACUGGUCGAGUCGGCCUGCGCGGAAGAUGUAACGGGGCUAAACCAUGCACCGAAGCUGCGGCAGCGACACUGUGUGUUGUUGGGUAGGGGAGCGUUCUGUAAGCCUGUGAAGGUGUGUCGUGAGGCAUGCUGGAGGUAUCAGAAGUGCGAAUGCUGACAUAAGUAACGAUAAAGCGGGUGAAAAGCCCGCUCGCCGGAAGACCAAGGGUUCCUGUCCAACGUUAAUCGGGGCAGGGUGAGUCGACCCCUAAGGCGAGGCCGAAAGGCGUAGUCGAUGGGAAACGGGUUAAUAUUCCCGUACUUGGUGUUACUGCGAAGGGGGGACGGAGAAGGCUAUGUUGGCCGGGCGACGGUUGUCCCGGUUUAAGCGUGUAGGUGUGUGUUCCAGGUAAAUCCGGUUCACUUUAACACUGAGGCGUGACGACGAGGCACUACGGUGCUGAAGCAACAAAUGCCCUGCUUCCAGGAAAAGCCUCUAAGCAUCAGGUAACAUCAAAUCGUACCCCAAACCGACACAGGUGGUCAGGUAGAGAAUACCAAGGCGCUUGAGAGAACUCGGGUGAAGGAACUAGGCAAAAUGGUGCCGUAACUUCGGGAGAAGGCACGCUGACACGUAGGUGAAGUGAUUUACUCAUGGAGCUGAAGUCAGUCGAAGAUACCAGCUGGCUGCAACUGUUUAUUAAAAACACAGCACUGUGCAAACACGAAAGUGGACGUAUACGGUGUGACGCCUGCCCGGUGCCGGAAGGUUAAUUGAUGGGGUCAGCGCAAGCGAAGCUCCUGAUCGAAGCCCCGGUAAACGGCGGCCGUAACUAUAACGGUCCUAAGGUAGCGAAAUUCCUUGUCGGGUAAGUUCCGACCUGCACGAAUGGCGUAAUGAUGGCCAGGCUGUCUCCACCCGAGACUCAGUGAAAUUGAACUCGCUGUGAAGAUGCAGUGUACCCGCGGCAAGACGGAAAGACCCCGUGAACCUUUACUAUAGCUUGACACUGAACAUUGAGCCUUGAUGUGUAGGAUAGGUGGGAGGCUUUGAAGUGUGGACGCCAGUCUGCAUGGAGCCGACCUUGAAAUACCACCCUUUAAUGUUUGAUGUUCUAACGUGGACCCGUAAUCCGGGUUGCGGACAGUGUCUGGUGGGUAGUUUGACUGGGGCGGUCUCCUCCUAAAGAGUAACGGAGGAGCACGAAGGUUGGCUAAUCCUGGUCGGACAUCAGGAGGUUAGUGCAAUGGCAUAAGCCAGCUUGACUGCGAGCGUGACGGCGCGAGCAGGUGCGAAAGCAGGUCAUAGUGAUCCGGUGGUUCUGAAUGGAAGGGCCAUCGCUCAACGGAUAAAAGGUACUCCGGGGAUAACAGGCUGAUACCGCCCAAGAGUUCAUAUCGACGGCGGUGUUUGGCACCUCGAUGUCGGCUCAUCACAUCCUGGGGCUGAAGUAGGUCCCAAGGGUAUGGCUGUUCGCCAUUUAAAGUGGUACGCGAGCUGGGUUUAGAACGUCGUGAGACAGUUCGGUCCCUAUCUGCCGUGGGCGCUGGAGAACUGAGGGGGGGCUGCUCCUAGUACGAGAGGACCGGAGUGGACGCAUCACUGGUGUUCGGGUUGUCAUGCCAAUGGCACUGCCCGGUAGCUAAAUGCGGAAGAGAUAAGUGCUGAAAGCAUCUAAGCACGAAACUUGCCCCGAGAUGAGUUCUCCCUGAGACUUAGAGUCUCCUGAAGGAACGUUGAAGACGACGACGUUGAUAGGCCGGGUGUGUAAGCGCAGCGAUGCGUUGAGCUAACCGGUACUAAUGAACCGUGAGGCUUAACCUU